UACAGAGGUGGCAAGCGUUGUUCGGAAUUACUGGGCGUAAAGGGCGCGUAGGCGGCCUUCUAAGUCAGACGUGAAAUCCCCCGGCUUAACCUGGGAACUGCGUCUGAUACUGGGAGGCUUGAGUAUGGGAGAGGGAUGCAGAAUUCCAGGUGUAGCGGUGAAAUGCGUAGAUAUCUGGAGGAAUACCGGUGGCGAAGGCGGCAUCCUGGACCGGCAUUGACGCUGAGGAGCGAAAGCUAGGGGAGCAAACGGG
rnacentral:rRNA from 1 species